GUCCUGGCCCUCUGACCCGCGGUCCCUCUGGCUUCGUCGCCAGGCGCUUCUGCCUCCGCAGGCGCUCCCGACCGGCACAGCUGGACCACGCCCUUCCUGCCUCUGCUCUGUGCCUCGGUUUACCAAAUGUCCGCGCCGUAGCGCUACAUGUGCGCUGUCUGCCGCGCGCCAGGGCAGGUGUGGGGCGAGGACGGGUCCGGAGGCCCGGCGCCAGGUGCACCCAGUAACCGUGUUACUGGUUCCCGCUCUGGGGAGGCUGCGUGCCUGGAGCACAGGCCAGUCCACUGCGGCCGCUCCCAGAGGGCAGGGGCUGUGCAGAGCUCAUCUGGGUACCAUCUGGAUUCGAUGCAUCAGUAAACGGGGUCAGCCUCUAGUGCUGGUGCCGGGUCCCUCGCCAUCCAGGACCCCUCAGAUGCUGCCCAGUCAGCAGUACCUAGACACACCCAGUGUCAGUGGCUGUUUAGUAAGAGCAAAGGUGCUGGGCACUGCUUGCUGUUAUGUGGACUUUAUUAUGGGUUGAAUUAUGUCCCCCAAAAGAGUGUGUUGACAUCCUAGUCUCAAGUACUCAGAAUGUGACCUUAUUUGGAGAUAAGAUCCUUUUACAGAGGCCCCAGGUAAAAAUGAGAUCAUUCGUGUGGGCUCCUAAUCCAGUAUGACUGGUGUCCUUAGAAGCAGAAGGCUACGGUGAAGACAGAGACACAGGAAGAACCACGUGCAACAGUGGAACAGGGGAGUGAUGCUUCUGCAAGCCAAGGAACCCCUGGGACCCCUGGUGCCGGAAGAGAGGCAUGGAACACAUCCUUCCGUAGAGCCUCCAGGUGAAGCAUGGCCCUGUGGACGCCUUGAUGUUGGACUUCUGGCCCCCAGAACUGUGAACUCCCAUACACGACUGUUGUUUCAAGCCUCCAAUCGUGGUACUUCCUUUGGCCGCUCUGGGAAACAAUAUACGUUCCUUCUAAUCUGAUUGGCUAAGGACCCCAGUGAGUGGAGUCAUCCCUUGAAGUUUCAGAGAGGUCACACGCCCGCUGGCAAUUUCAUUGGUCCCAUCCCGAACCCAUGUGUUCUACGCCACUACACUAUGCUAUGGGGCCUCCUGUAUCCCACUUUAUUAAUGGGAAAGAAGUUUUUGCCUUCCCGGGAUGUACGGCUCUUCUUUUGGGAUUUGGCCGAAGUUCAUACGUUGGUAUUUGUGAUUCAUCUGACUCAGCAGGUUAACAUCGUUAAUGAAAGUUUGCUUAGAGGACCUCAGCAAUCUACUCCAUGCAGGACACGUACAAACACCAAGGCCUAGAAUCCACCUGUUCUUAUGAUCUGUUGCUACCAGGACGCAGUCAGAACUGGGGUCCCAGCAGAGCUGAAAAGGGAAAAGAACACAAAAACUGAAUCAAGAUGUUUACAAGUGUGCUAAGAUGUAGCUUUACAGUUAAUAUGUAAAUCCUACUUUCAUUUUUACCUGAGUAGUAUUUUUAACAUGAAUUCCUAAGCUGUUAAUAAAAAGAGACUAGCUAUUGUUAGCAUCUCUGGUUCCCAACCCAGGAAAGAAAGGCUAGCUUGGUGACUGUAUCGGUGGAUUACAUGGCAUUGGGGAGGGUGGGUGAGAGGGAGGGGAGUGUGCAGCAGCCAGAGAGGAUGCAUGGACCUGGCUCAGCUCAGCGGGGCUCCCUGCUGGGGAGGCUGACAGAAGCUGCUGCUGUCUUCACAAGGGGGUCCAGGGUCAAGAGCCAAAUAAGGGUUUUGGAGCCAAGGGGGACAGCACAAAGACCACCACCCCUGCCCAAGGACUGGCCCUGCUGAGGACUGAGACUCGAGGAUGUGGUAUCGCGGACUGUCCCAUGAACAGAACUAAAAUCCGCGCACUCUGCACUUGCUGGCAAUGGGGCCACUGAAGGUUCUGCCUAGAACCAAGCGCAUAGUCUGACUUGGAGUGCAGCAGAGAGGAGGCACGGACAACUGCAGGCCGUGAACUGUGUGCGGGCAUUUCCCCGCCGGCUCGACCGCCACCCUCUCUCUGCCUUGUUUCUGAGCGGCAUCUCUCCUCAUGCACACAGUGGAGUCGCAUCUCCGGGUGUGCCAUUGCCUGAGAAUAAGGCCACUUCAGGUAUAAAAUAUUCCGCCCGCAUCCCCUGGGGCUCCUCGCUGACAUGCAGCAGCAGCUCUGACGUGGAGCCACAGGCCGACAGCCGGCAGAGAGAGGCGUGCAUCUGCAGCAGCGGGCGCCGCGGC